UCCUCUCUGAUUGGCCGAGAACAUGGCGGGAAAAAGUUUGACAGAGUGGAGUCGAAAAACGCAGCAGUCUAGCGUUUUCAAUGUUUACAAUAACAUUGAAAACAGACUGAAAAUGACGAGAAAACAAGCUACUUUUUAAAUAAACCAUCUGCGCCUACAGUCUCAGAAGCAGCAACUUAGAAGAACCUGCCAUUUUGACAGCCGAAACCAACGACAAUGGGGUUGAUAUCAGCAUUACCCUGAGAAAGCUCCAGGCGGAGGGAGACAUGCAGUGACAGCACAGCUGGGCGCCUGACGUGACUCACACCGAUGAGACUGGAUGCGGGAGGCCUGAGGCUGAGCUCCACAUCGCAGCAGAGCCGGCGGCGCCGUGCAGCAGUUCUCUCCUGGUGUGACUUGCCCUGUGCACAGAGCGAGUCUCUACGAGCUUCUGUCUCCAUGCAGCAGGCGGAGAGGCUGUCGUGCCGUUUAUCACCAUCAUGCUGAUGGUGUGUGGAUGUUGAUGGGCCACCUGUCCUUCCUAUGGGCCACUCAGCUAAGUGAAACCAGCAGUGGCCUCAUUAGAGAAGCUUAUUGCCUUAAUUCAGCCCAAACACAACAACUCGAGAUGGAGCCGUUCCAAAAUAACUGCACUGUAAAACAUUUACAGAUGGUAUAACUUGAAAAUGAAAGUCCACCUGCUGCUUUAAAAAUGCCA